GAUGAACGCUGGCGGCGUGCCUAAUACAUGCAAGUCGAGCGAACGGACCAGAAGCUUGCUUUUCUGAUGUUAGCGGCGGACGGGUGAGUAACACGUGGAUAACCUACCUAUAAGACUGGGAUAACUUCGGGAAACCGGAGCUAAUACCGGAUGAUAUUUUGAACCGCAUGGUUCAAAGGUGAAAGACGGUCUUGCUUUCACUUAUAGAUGGAUCCGCGCUGCAUUAGCUAGUUGGUAAGGUAACGGCUUACCAAGGCAACGAUGCAUAGCCGACCUGAGAGGGUGAUCGGCCACACUGGAACUGAGACACGGUCCAGACUCCUACGGGAGGCAGCAGUAGGGAAUCUUCCGCAAUGGGCGAAAGCCUGACGGAGCAACGCCGCGUGAGUGAUGAAGGUAUUCGGAUCGUAAAACUCUGUUAUUAGGGAAGAACAUAUGUGUAAGUAACUGUGCACACCUUGACGGUACCUAAUCAGAAAGCCACGGCUAACUACGUG
rnacentral:rRNA from 1 species